rnacentral:rRNA from 1 species
GUGAGGAAUAUUGGUCAAUGGGCGGGAGCCUGAACCAGCCAAGUCGCGUGAAGGAAGAAGGAUCUAUGGUUCGUAAACUUCUUUUGCAGGGGAAUAAAGUGCAGGACGUGUCCUGUUUUGUAUGUACCCUGAGAAUAAGGAUCGGCUAACUCCGUGCCAGCAGCCGCGGUAAUACGGAGGAUCCGAGCGUUAUCCGGAUUUAUUGGGUUGAAAGGGUGCGUAGGUGGUUUGAUAAGUCAGCGGUGAAAGUUUGCAGCUUAACUGUAAAAAUGCCGUUGAAACUGUCGGACUUGAGUGUAAAUGAGGUAGGCGGAAUGCGUGGUGUAGCGGUGAAAUGCAUAGAUAUCACGCAGAACUCCGAUUGCGAAGGCAGCUUACUAAGCUACAACUGACACUGAAGCACGAAAGCGUGGGGAUCAAACAGGAUUAGAUACCCCUGUAGUCC